rnacentral:rRNA from 1 species
CCGGCACGGGUGAGUAACACGUAUCCAACCUGCCGUCUACUCUUGGCCAGCCUUCUGAAGGAAGAUUAAUCCAGGAUGGCAUCAUGAGUUCACAUGUCCGCAUGAUUAAAGGUAUUUCCGGUAGACGAUGGGGAUGCGUUCCAUUAGAUAGUAGGCGGGGUAACGGCCCACCUAGUCAACGAUGGAUAGGGGUUCUGAGAGGAAGGUCCCCCACAUUGGAACUGAGACACGGUCCAA